rnacentral:rRNA from 1 species
CCCUUAGAUGUUCUGGGCCGCACGCGCGCUACACUGACUACUUCAACGAGUUGUUUCCUUGAUCGAAAGGUCUGGGUAAUCUUUGAAAGGUAGUCGUGAUGGGGAUGGAUCCUUGCAAUUUUUGAUCUUCAACGAGGAAUUCCUAGUAAACGCAAGUCAUCAGCUUGCAUUGAUUACGUCCCUGCCCUUUGUACACACCGCCCGUCGCACCUACCGAUUGAAUGGUCCGGUGAAUCUUUAGGACUGUGGCUGAGGCCUUGCCUUGUGCGGGUCUGGCCGUGGGAAUUUAGUUAAACCUUACCAUUUAGAGGAAGGUGAAGUCGUAACA